GACAGAGCAGGUUCACAGGUUCUAGAAUGAAUCUCCUCCUCUCGACCAGGACAGAGCAGGUUCACAGGUUCUAGAAUGAAUCUCCUCCUCUCGACCAGGACAGAGCAGGUUCACAGGUUCUAGAAUGAAUCUCCUCCUCUCGACCAGGACAAAGCAGGUUCACAGGUUCUAGAAUGAAUCUCCUCCUCUCGACCAGGACAAAGCAGGUUCACAGGUUCUAGAAUGAAUCUCCUCCUCUCGACCAGGACAAAGCAGGUUCACAGGUUCUAGAAUGAAUCUCCUCCUCUCGACCAGGACA